GUGCUUGCUUCUGCAGCACAUAUACUAAAAUUGGAACGAUACAGAGAAGAUUAGCACUGCCCCUACGCAAGGAUGACACGCAAAUUUUAAGAUUCCAUAUUAAA